UUUUUGGGCUUGGUAAUUGGAAUGAGGGAGAGUUAAACGGACCAUCGAGUAUCCAUUGGAGGGCAAGUCUGGUGCCAGCAGCUGCGGUAAUACCAGCUCCAAUAGCGUAUAUUAAAGUUGUUGCAGUUAAAAAGCUCGUAGUUGGACUUGUGUGCGCUGUCCGCGGGUGGCCUGCGCCCAAAAGGGCGUUUCGGUUCGGCCCCGGUGGCGCCUUGAAAUCUGCAGCUGGGGGGACGUUGGCCUUAACUGGUCGGCGACCGCACGCCGGCUGCUCGGUUACUGUGAGAAAAUUAGAGUGUUCAAGGCAGGCAUUGGGUGCAAUUGAAUACAUUAGCAUGGAAUAAUAAAAUAUGGCUCCUGCCGUAUUUUGUUGGUUUUGACUGGUGGGAGUAAUGAUUGAUAGGGACGGUUGGGGGUGCUAGUAUUGAGCGGCCAGAGGUGAAAUUCAUGAUUCGCUCAAGACUAACUUAUGCGAAAGCAUUCACCAAGGACGUCCUCUUUAAUCAAGAACGAAAGUUGGGGGAUCGAAGACGAUCAGAUACCGUCGUAGUCUCAACCAUAAACUAUGUCGACUUGGGAUCGGCGGUAGUUUUUUCAUUAAGACACUGUCGGGACCACGGGAGAAAUCAAAGUGUCUGGACUCUGGGGGAAGUAUGGUCGCAAGGCUGAAACUUGAAGGAAUUGACGGAAGGGCACCACCAGGAGUGGAGCCUGCGGCUUAAUUUGACACAACACGGGGAAACUUACCAGGUCCAGAGAUGUAGAGGAUUGACAGAUUGAAGCUCUUUCUUGAUCACUUCGGUGGUGGUGCAUGGCCGUUCUUAGUUGGUGGAGUGAUUUGUCUGGUUAAUUCCGUUAACGAACGAGACCUCAGCCUGCUAGUGUAGUCGGCUGGAUUGCCUUUGGCGAUCCGUGAUUUCGACUUCUUAGAGGGACAAUCGACGCGCAGUCGAUGGAAGUUUGAGGCAAUAACAGGUCUGUGAUGCCCUUAGAUGUUCUGGGCCGCACGCGCGCUACACUGCUGGGCUCAGCGAGUUUUACUUGGCCGAGAGGCCCGGUUAAUCUUGUGAAAUCCAAGCGUGCUUGGGCUCGCCUCCUGCAACUGGAGGCGCCAACGAGGAAUUCCUAGUAGACGCAGGUCAUCAACCUGCAUCGAUUACGUCCCUGCCCUUUGUACACACCGCCCGUCGUUCCAUAAGAGUGAGGCAUCCGGUGAAUUCUCGGGAGAGCCUGGGCGUGGCCAGCAAUGGUCUGCUCGGGUUUGAACUUGCAUAAACUUGGUGCCUAUGAUUAGGG
rnacentral:rRNA from 1 species